rnacentral:lncRNA from 1 species
CAUGUUCUUGCUUUCAACCCCGAAAAGGGGGCGUUUAGCCACGCAUAGUCAUAACCAUAAUUACAAGGUUGUAAUUAAUGAAUGACAUAUGUAUGAACUAAAUAAAAUUAAUAAAAACCCAAUAAUGAAGUUGUAGCAGCCCCUUGAUGUUCAAAAUAUGUCAAAAGAUAUGUAAAAUGUGAUACAACAUGUAUAUAUAGCAUAAGGGUAAGCCAAGUCCGUGUAAGAGU